rnacentral:rRNA from 1 species
CGAUGACGUUGAUAGGCCGGGUGUGUAAGCGCAGCGAUGCGUUGAGCUAACCGGUACUAAUGAACCGUGAGGCUUAACCUUACAACGCCGAAG